rnacentral:rRNA from 1 species
AUUGAACGCUGGCGGCAGGCCUAACACAUGCAAGUCGAACGAGUGGCGGACGGGUGAGUAAUGUCUGGGAAACUGCCUGAUGGAGGGGGAUAACUACCGGAAACGGUAGCUAAUACCGCAUACCAUCAGAUGUGCCCAGAUGUGAUUAGCUAGUGGGUGGGGUAAUGGCUCACCAAGGCGACGAUCCCUAGCUGGUCUGAGAGGAUGACCAGCCACACUGGAACUGAGACACGGUCCGGAAUCCUACGGGAGGCAGCAGUGGGGAAUAUGGCACAAGGGGCGCAAGCCUGAUACAGCAAUGACGCGUGUAUGAAGAAGGCCUUCGGGUGGGAAAGGACUUUCAGCGGGGAGGCGUUACCCGAAGAAGAAGCACCGGCUAACUCCGUGCCAGCCGCCGCGGUAAUAC